GACGAACGCUGGCGGCGUGCUUAACACAUGCAAGUCGAACGGGUCUGCCCUGUUUUUUGCGGGGUGGGUCAGUGGCGAACGGGUGAGUAACACGUGAGUAACCUGCCCCUCACUUCUGGAUAACCGCUUGAAAGGGUGGCUAAUACGGGGUGUUCUGGCUGUGCCGCAUGGUGUGGCUGGGAAAGAUUCACUUUUGUGGUGUUUUGGUGGGGGAUGGGCUCGCGGCCUAUCAGCUUGUUGGUGGGGUGAUGGCCUGCCAAGGCUUUGACGGGUAGCCGGCCUGAGAGGGUGGGCGGUCACACUGGGACUGAGAUACGGCCCAGACUCCUGCGGGAGGCAGCAGUGGGGGGUAUUGCACAAUGGGCGGAAGCCUGAUGCAGCGACGUCGCGUGAGGGAUGGAGGCCUUCGGGGUGUGAACCUCUUUCGCCGGUGAAGAAGGUCCUGCUCUUUGUGGUGGGGUUGACGGUAGCCGGGUUAUGAAGCGCCGGCUAACUACG
rnacentral:rRNA from 1 species